rnacentral:tRNA from 1 species
CGGGGUGUAGCUCAGUUUGGUAGAGCGCGUGGUUUGGGACCACGAAGUCGCAGGUUCAAGUCCUGUCACCCCGA